UUUUUUUAGAGUAACCCUAGGACACAAAUACGAAGAGAUGAGGAAAUGGUAGCUCUGACACAGCAAAGAGGCAGAGGAUCAUCAGGAUGGAAGUGAAGGGGGAUCCCAGAAAGAUAACUGUGCUAUCAGUCAAGAACAGCUCUGGAAGAAGCUUCCUCCAGAAGAUGAGGAUAACUGAAGACUUCUAGGUAGCAAUAACAUCAGGUAAGCCAAAAGGUCUGUUUAGGUUUUCCUGUAAACCCAAGCAACCUUUCCAGCUAACUCAAUAUUUUAAAAGGAGAUUUAGACAAUUGGCGUAUAGUAUGGGUUGAGUUAGUGGCUGGUACAGAUAUCAUUAAGUAAAUGAAAGUUUGAAAUGGAAAGAUAAGUAAGAUUUACUAGGUCACAAUAGGGUAGAUAAAUAAUACCUAUCUAAUCAAAAUUACAAUCUAGCUACAUAUUGGGAGGGUUAAAAAUGAAAGUAAGUGUGGCUUUGUGAGCGUGGCUGUCUGAAAGUAAGCGUGGCUUUGCAUGCACGGGAGGCUGAGUGUGACAGAACAAAGGUAGAGGAUGAGCCAAAUGCCAAAUCCUUAUCUUCCAUAAAACUGAAUCCCAAAAACUGAAAAAUGAAUGAAUAGCAAUGCGGGUAUGUUAAUUCGUGAUAUGACAAUAAAUGUUAAAAUAUUAAUAAUCAUCUAAACAAUUGAAAGCAGUUACCUUCGAGGAACAGCAAUACUUGUGGUAAUAAUUUAGUAAAAGAUCUAGCAUUUAAUAUAAUAAACCUAACUAAAAUGAAAUAAUGUUAAAAUUACUCAUCUAGGACGUGCUACAUUUCAGAUCUUGUUUUAGGUGCUGUACUCACUUUUUCCUCCAGCAUAAUCUUGUGGGGCUGCUGCUGCUAAGUCGCUUCAGUCAUGUCCGACCCUGUGUGACCCCAGAGACGGCAGCCCACCAGGCUCCUCUGUCCCUGGGAUUCUCCAGGCAAGAAUACUGGAGUGGGUUGCCAUUGCCUUCUCCCAAUCUUGUGCUGUGCCUGAGCUUACUUACGAAAAUUAUCUCCAUUCUACAUGAAAUGAGUAGAUGAGAUAUUCAAGGACACACUCAUUAAAGAAAAUGGCAGGAAGAGAUCCAUCAGGACCAUCAAACUUUGGGGACAGCUCUGCAACACUGCAUUAUUGAGGAACAGGUUUGC